CAUUGCAUCCCCUAGAGAUCUUGUUAAAAUGAAGACUCUGCUUCGGUAGGUUUGUAGGAAGGGCUGACAUUCUGCAUUCCUGGCGAGCUCCCAAGUGAUGGCUAU
rnacentral:pre_miRNA from 1 species